rnacentral:rRNA from 1 species
UGGGAACGUACCCUUCGGUUCGGAAUAACCCGGGGAAACUCGGGCUAAUACCGGAUACGUCCGUAAGGAGAAAGAUUUAUCGCCGAAGGAUCGGCCCGCGUCGGAUUAGCUAGUUGGUGAGGUAACGGCUCACCAAGGCGAUGAUCCGUAGCUGGUCUGAGGGGACGAUCAGCCACACUGGGACUGAGACACGGCCCAGACUCCUACGGGAGGCAG